rnacentral:sRNA from 2 species
GUUUGCACUUGUCGGGGAAGGGUGAGAACCUUCGAUUAAGGUUCGACUCGAGCGAAAGCGAGAGAACGUUGCCAACGGCAACGGCCCGUAGGGUGAGGA